rnacentral:rRNA from 1 species
GCGAGUAGAGUGGCGCACGUGUGAGUAACACGUAGGUAAUUUGCCUUCGGGUGGGAAAUAACGCACAGAAACGGGAGCUAACUACCGCAUAAUGCAGCGUCUCGACAUCGAGACAGUUGUUAAAGCGGGGGAUUCCGAGACCUCUCGCCUCAAAAGAAGCCUGCGUUAGAUUAGCUAUUUGGGAGGGUAAUGGCCUACCCAGGCAACGAUCUGUAACCGGCCUCAGAGGGCGGUCGGUCACACUCACACUCACAUAUGCGUCAGACUCCUACAGGAGGCAGCAGUCGGGAAUUUUGGGCAAUGUGCGAAAGCCUGACCCAGCAACGCCCCGUGAAGGAUGAAAUCCCUCGGGAUGUAAACUUCGCACGAAUGGGAAGAAUAAAUGGGGGACAAUACCCCCCAUGAUGACGGUGCCAUUUGUAAGCUCCGGCUAACUCCGUGCGAGCAGC